AUACCUUUCUCGGCCUUUUGGCUAAGAUCAAGUGUAGUAUCUGUUCUUAUCAGUUUAAUAUCUGAUAUGUGGGCCAUGUGUCCACAAUGGUAUUAAAUUUAUUUUUUAAGGGGAGGAUCCAACAUGAUAGCUUGCUACCGGGGCCCUCACGUGUCGCCUAGGCGUUGCACUAUUGCCUAUGCCAAUCCCAACCAA
rfam:Triticum aestivum genome assembly, contig: Triticum_aestivum_CS42_TGACv1_scaffold_223856_3B